GAAAUGCUAGAGAAGCUCUUCCUUGCAGGGGUCGACGUGUUUCGUCUGAAUUUCAGUCACGGCAGCCACAAAGAAAAGGCGCUCCUGGUGAAGCUGAUUCGCGAGCUGGAAGUGAAGCACCAGAGGUG
rnacentral:ribozyme from 1 species